rnacentral:tRNA from 1 species
CCCUCAAUGGCUCAAAUGGUUGAGUGCUUGGCUACUAAUCAAAAGCCUGGUGGUUCGAAUCCACCCACAGGUG